CAUUCACGGAGAGUUUGAUCCUGGCUCAGGACGAACGCUGGCGGCGUGCUUAACACAUGCAAGUCGAACGAUGAACCACCUUCGGGUGGGGAUUAGUGGCGAACGGGUGAGUAACACGUGGGCAAUCUGCCCUGCACUCUGGGACAAGCCCUGGAAACGGGGUCUAAUACCGGAUACUGACCUGCCAAGGCAUCUUGGCGGGUCGAAAGCUCCGGCGGUGCAGGAUGAGCCCGCGGCCUAUCAGCUUGUUGGUGAGGUAAUGGCUCACCAAGGCGACGACGGGUAGCCGGCCUGAGAGGGCGACCGGCCACACUGGGACUGAGACACGGCCCAGACUCCUACGGGAGGCAGCAGUGGGGAAUAUUGCACAAUGGGCGAAAGCCUGAUGCAGCGACGCCGCGUGAGGGAUGACGGCCUUCGGGUUGUAAACCUCUUUCAGCAGGGAAGAAGCGAAAGUGACGGUACCUGCAGAAGAAGCGCCGGCUAACUACGUGCCAGCAGCCGCGGUAAUACGUAGGGCGCAAGCGUUGUCCGGAAUUA
rnacentral:rRNA from 1 species